GAUCAUGGCUCAGGAUGAACGCUAGCUACAGGCUUAACACAUGCAAGUCGAGGGGCAGCGGGAUUGAAGCUUGCUUCAAUUGCCGGCGACCGGCGCACGGGUGAGUAACGCGUAUCCAACCUGCCCACCACUUGGGGAUAACCUUGCGAAAGUAAGACUAAUACCCAAUGAUAUCUCUAGAAGACAUCUGAAAGAGAUUAAAGAUUUAUCGGUGAUGGAUGGGGAUGCGU
rnacentral:rRNA from 1 species